CUUAUCAAGAGUGACAGAGGGAACAGGCCCGAUGAAGUCCGACAACCUGCCGUUUUGGUAAGGUGCCAAAUCCUGCGGUGAAAAUCCGAGAGAUAAG
rnacentral:ncRNA from 1 species